rnacentral:lncRNA from 1 species
UCCAUCUAGAUGAUCCCAUAAGUGUCAGGAUGUAGUGCAAAUAGGCAGGAAUAUGAUGGUCCAGUAAAGUUGGAAAUAGAAUUGAAAUGCCACAUUGAUUAAGGUCGAGAACUAAUAAUUUGCAUGGUCAAUGACUACCAUCUUUGGAGGGAUCCCAACAUGUCUAGUAUCAGUGUUCCAUCCAGUGCAUAACAAGGAUGAUAUAUAUUCAAUAGCACCAAUCCCUAGUCAUGAGUGCAUUGUACUUCUUCUCGACGACCUUUAACAAGCUCUUCGCCAUGCAUUUCCUGAUCUUUUAUUUGGCAUGGUCUUCUGGCCAGUUCCACAUCUUGACAAGUCUCUCCACCACAGAUGUGGAGGUCGAGAUCCAAUGAGCUGCUCGUUGUUGGAAUUGGAAUCUAAGAGCUCCGCAGCAUAUGAGAUGAGGUCCAUCUUCAGGCCAUUGAAGAUGUCCCCCUUGAUGCAUUUGGAGUACAUCACGGUUGUUCCCAGUUCAAAGUUGCUGCAUGCAUCUUCAAGUACAUGGCACUAUGAGAUCUUCUAGAA